rnacentral:rRNA from 1 species
UACGUAGGGUGCGAGCGUUAAUCGGAAUUACUGGGCGUAAAGCGUGCGCAGGCGGUUCGCCAAGUCAGGUGUGAAAUCCCCGGGCUUAACCUGGGAAUUGCGGCUUGAAACUAGCGGGCUUGAAGUGUGGGCAGAGGGGGUGGAAUUCCACGGUGUAGCAGUGAAAUGCGUAGAGAUGUGGAGGAACACCGAUGGCGAAGGCAGCCCCCUGGGUCAACACUGACGCUCAUGCACGAAAGCGUGGGGAGCAAACAGG